GACGAACGCUGGCGGCGUGCCUAAUACAUGCAAGUUGAACGCUUGAUUUUUACCGAAGCUUGCUUCACCGAAAAUCAAGAGUAGCGAACGGGUGAGUAACGCGUGGGUAACCUACCUUUCAGCGGGGGAUAACUAUUGGAAACGAUAGCUAAUACCGCAUAACAAUGUUGGAUGCAUAUUCGACAUUUGAAAGUACCAACUGGUACACUGAGAGAUGGACCCGCGUUGUAUUAGCUAGUUGGUAGUGUAAUGGACUACCAAGGCGAUGAUACAUAGCCGACCUGAGAGGGUGAUCGGCCACAUUGGGACUGAGACACGGCCCAAACUCCUACGGGAGGCAGCAGUAGGGAACCUUCGGCAAUGGACGAAAGUCUGACCGAGCAACGCCGCGUGAGUGAAGAAGGUUUUCGGAUCGUAAAACUCUGUUGUUAGAGAAGAACGUUGCAUAGAGUGGAAAAUUAUGCAAGUGACGGUAUCUAACCAGAAAGGGACGGCGUAACUACGUACG
rnacentral:rRNA from 1 species